rnacentral:rRNA from 1 species
CCUACGGGUGGCAGCAGUGGGGAAUAUUGCACAAUGGAGGAAACCCUGAUGCAGCAACGCCGCGUGAAGGAAGACGGUUUUCGGAUUGUAAACCUCUGUUCUUAGUGAAGAAUACUGACGGUCGCUAAGGAGCCUGACACGGCUAACUACGUGCCAGCAGCCGCGGUAAUACGGAGGUGGCAAGCGUUGUCCGGAAUUACUGGGUGUAAAGGGAGCGCAGGCGGGAAGCCAAGUCAGCUGUGAAAACUACGGGCUUAACUUGUAGACUGCAGUUGAAACUGGUUUUCUAGAGUGAAGUAGAGGUAGGCGGAAUGCCGAGUGUAGCGGUGAAAUGCGUAGAGAUUCGGAGGAACACCGGUGGCGAAGGCGGCCAACUGGGCUAUAACUGACGCUGAGGCUCGAAAGUGUGGGGAGCAAACAGGAUUAGAUACCCCAGUAGUC